AGCACCUCUACCAUGGCCUGGGCUCCACUCCUCCUCACCCUCCUCGCUCACUGCACAGGGUCUUGGGCAGAGGUUGUGCUGACUCAGCCCAGCUCUGUGUCGGGGUCUCCUGGGCAGAAGGUCACCAUCUCCUGUGCCCGCAGCAGCGACAACACUGGGGAUUGUGCACUGCUACCAGCAGCGCCCAGGCAGUGCCCCCACCACUGUAAUCUACGAAGAUGAUGAAAGACCCUCUGAGGUUCCCGCUCGGUUCCCUGACUCCACUGACACCUCCUCCAGUGCCGCCUCCCUGACCAUCUCUGGGCUGAAGUCCGAGGACGAGGCCGACUACUGUUGUCAGUCUGGUUAUGACAGCAGUAAGAACACAGUGCUCCAGACCCAUGAGGAGGUCUGGUUUGUCCUCAUCUCUUCAUAA